CUGCCCCUGUCUAGCUCCGCUAAUCUCGCCGGUACUACAAGAAGAAGGGCGGCGGGGGCACGCAGAGAGCAGAGGGGGAAAGGCAAGGCGACGACCACGGGCCCGAGAAAGCAGAGGAGAAAAGCGCCGUCGUCUACCACCAGUCCACCACGUCGGUCCAUCCUCGCGUUGGAAGGACCAUUUAAAGCCCCCGUUCCCACCUGCGAACCCGCCCCCACUACUCCGUCCUCCGCGCCACUCAUCCCGGGGAGCUUUCCUUUCCUCUGCACCCUCACCCCAAAUAAAUCCCGUGGCGUUUCUUGAUCUCCUUGCGAUUCCGGCGACGCGGCGGCGGAAGGUUGCCGGCUGUGCCGCGGUUCUGGCUGCCGCGCUGCUCUGACAAUCGGUUGUUUCGGCGGUUUCUUGAUCCGUCGCCCGCCCGCCCACUGAGUUCGCGGAAAAGGUCGCCGUAGCUCUUUUCUUCUUUCUUUUCCCCCUCGCGGCAACGGCUGUCCCGUGCUCUGCCGCCCAAAACCCUCCUUCCUUCCCUGCCGAUCACGGUUCCGCGGCUGGCCGCUUUCUCGAUCUGUCCCAAUCGGCGGAGCUGGUGGGCGACGUCAGGGUCUCGUCUCCUUUCUGUUUGCUGGUGGCGAGCGUCAUUUAUUACUCCCCAGGUCAAUCCGGACUUGUUCUUCACCCCUGCCGUGCUUGCCCCGUGACCACCACGCCUUUCGGCAAGGGCUCGGUCGGUUUCCUCUUGAUUCUUCCUGUUCCCCUCUAUCCAUCCAAUGCGGCAGUGAGGAGCUUCACAGCGGAGGGAGGGAGGAGCUCGCCGUGCAUGGUUUGACGUGUUUUCUGGUACCCUGCUAGUGCGCCGCCGAGAUGGGCUGCGUCGCGUCCAAGAAGGCCGUCGUCUCUAUCACUCCGGCAGUCGACUCGUCCGGCGUGUUCCGUGACCGCGCGCUGGAGCCCGCUGCCGUCUCCGCCUCCUCCCUGCGCAGCUCGGCUGCUGCAGCCGCGGCGGCGAGGUUGGUGGAGAAGAAGGACGACGCGGAGGAGACGGGAAAGGCUGUCGUCGCCGUGGCGGCCGCGUCGCGGAGCUUCCGGCUGCGGAACCUCCGGAGGAGCCUUGAGGGGGAGCAGGUGGCCGCCGGGUGGCCGUCGUGGCUCAGCGCCGUUGCCGGGGAGGCCAUCCAAGGCUGGAUCCCUCUCAAAGCCGACUCCUUUGAGAAGCUUGAGAAGGUUGGGCAAGGCACAUACAGCAGUGUAUUUAGGGCGCGCGAUCUCGACACUGGAAAGAUUGUCGCACUGAAGAAGGUGCGAUUUGACAAUUUUGAGCCAGAGAGUGUUAGAUUCAUGGCAAGGGAGAUACAGAUAUUGAGAAGGCUUGAUCAUCCAAAUGUCAUGAAGCUGGAAGGCUUGAUUACUUCUAGGUUAUCAUGCAGCCUUUAUCUAGUGUUUGAAUACAUGGAGCACGAUCUUGCUGGUCUUUGUUCCUCCCCUGACAUCAAGUUCACUGAAGCACAGGUUAAGUGCUACAUGAACCAGUUACUGUCAGGACUUGAGCAUUGUCAUUCACGCCGCAUUGUUCACCGUGACAUCAAGGGUGCCAAUCUCCUUGUGAAUAACGAAGGAGUUCUAAAAAUAGCUGAUUUUGGUCUGGCUAAUUACUUUGACCCAAGUAAAAACCAUCCUCUGACCAGCCGGGUUGUUACACUGUGGUACCGACCGCCUGAACUAUUGCUAGGGUCAACUCACUAUGAUUCAGCUGUUGAUUUGUGGAGUGUUGGGUGUGUAUUUGCUGAGUUGUUACGUGGAAGACCUAUCUUACAGGGAAGAACCGAGGUAGAACAAUUGCAUAAGAUCUUUAAGUUAUGUGGCUCCCCUGCUGAUGACUAUUGGAAGAAGUCAAGGUUGCCUCAUGCAACAAUAUUUAAACCUCACUGUCCUUAUCUAAGUACCCUUCGAGAUGUUUUUAAAGAGGUGCCGGAACAUGCAUUCAGUUUACUAGAAACUCUUCUGUCGGUGGAGCCAUACAAGCGUGGUACUGCAUCAUGCGCCCUUACAUCCGGGUUUUUCAAGACAAAACCUUAUGCAUGCGAACCUAUAAGCUUGCCUCAGUAUGCACCCAACAAGGAGAUGGAUGCAAAGUUACGAGAAGAGUUACACAGAAGAAAGGCCGGUAGCAGAGGGCAUGGGCCAGAAACAUCAAAGAAGUCAUCAAGGCUAAACAGAGCAGCAAGAGAACAAAGUGCAGUCAACAGGCAAACCGAGAACAGAGAGGAGUCCAAAACCAAACCAAAGGUAACCAAGGAUGGUGCAGUGCAGGUUCAUACAAAGGUUAAUGGUGAUGCUAGGCUAUUCACAGACACACAACUGGUUCCCGCGGCCCAAGUUAAAGAAAGGGGUCGUCAUGCUAAGAAUGAUUCACGGGAGGAAAUCCCUUUCUCUGGGCCCUUGAUUGUUUCGUCAUCCAGUGGCUUUGCAUGGGCCAAAAAACCGGAAGGUCGUUCUUUUACCAGAUCACGGAACAGAUCUAGUUCAAGAGGCGAAUUCACUGACGUAGAUUGGGACAAGAAGCCACAAGCUAAAGAGAACAUUGGAUUGGAGGAACAACAUAGCAGAGAUGUGCAUGUAGCAUGUGUCAACUCCAAGGUCCGAGAGCCUCAGGAGGUAGCAAAGCGUGCAGUUCUGAAGAAGUGGUCACAGUUAGAGCGUCCAGAUUCAUUUGAUUCUCGCGACACUUACCACUCUCAGAAUUUUUCGAAUGCAAUAUAUCUUGGGGAUGCUCUCUCAUCGAAAAAUAGCAUGAAGGACGACCACUAUCAAGGAGGAGAAAGGGUUGAAUAUUCAGGCCCUUUAUUGUCCCAAACCCACAAGGUUGAUGAACUGUUAGAGAAACAUGAGCGUCACAUUCGGCAAGUGGUCAGAAAAUCGUGGUUCAGGAGAGGAAUAAAGUGAGAGGAAAAGCUUGACCAUUUUUCUCCAUUGGCGAAGCGGCACGCAAGGCACGUGUACAUAGGGAAGGGGGCAUGUCUGAAUCAGGAGCUGGCAUGUUUUUAUCUUGGCUGCGUUUGUCCAUAACACGACAUCGUUGACUCGAAGAUCACUGCUGGGAACAUUAUGAUUCCCGGGCUCACGGCAAAAUCAAGCAUAAUUGCAUCCACCGGAGAAUGACUCCGGCGUGCACUUAGAAGACCGAAACCGGCUAUGCCAUUUCAAUUUUCUUCUUCUUUUCCACUGUUUUUGUGCUUAGGAAUAGCAGCUGACGAAUGUGGUGAAAUUCGGGGUUUGCGUUUGGUUGAACCAGUCAGCCAUUUGUGUCAAUAACCACCACGCAUGGUGCGAUGAUGAUUCUUGUAUAGCUACUAGGUAGCCUUUGCAAAGGGUAACUAAAAAUUGAAGCACCUCUCACUCACUUGCGGCGAUGGAUAUUUCUGAUCUGGUUUAGCACUUUCCUCAGUACUGCAAGCCUGGACUAUGGUAUUGGUAGCUGAAGAGUGUGCGAGCAGAAAACGUCUUACCCUAGUCGAGGGCGACAUGUUGUAUAUAUAUAGCAGGGGAGCCGAUUGGCUUGUACAUGCGGUCAAGAAAGAAAGAAGAGAUAAGAGAGAUCUAAGAUACAUCUUGAGAAACAAGAAAGGAAGAUGGUUACAAGAAGAUCUCUAUGCAAACUACCUCCUGGACUUAUCUCUAGUAU
rnacentral:rRNA from 1 species